GCGCAUGUGGUCUAGUGGUAUGAUGCAUCCCUGCCACGGAUGCGAACUGGGUUCGAUUCCCAGCAUGCGCA
rfam:Dictyostelium purpureum unplaced genomic scaffold DICPTscaffold_5, whole genome shotgun sequence.